GCUUUCCAACUUGAGCUCAGUUGGUAGAGCAUGAGACUCUUCCACUCAGGGCUGUUGGAUCGUGCCCCACAUUGGGCA